AGCAGCAUGGCGCAGUUUGGCAGCGCGCGGGGCUGACCGUAGUAUUUGCGAUGCUCGAAAAGUCUCGAGGCCACUUGUUCAAAUCAAGUUGCUGCCG